rnacentral:rRNA from 1 species
UGGGGAAUAUUGCACAAUGGGCGCAAGCCUGAUGCAGCUAUGCCGCGUGUGUGAAGAAGGCCUUCGGGUUGUAAAGCACUUUCAGCGGGGAGGAAGGCGAUAAGGUUAAUAACCUUGUCGAUUGACGUUACCCGCAGAAGAAGCACCGGCUAACUCCGUGCCAGCAGCCGCGGUAAUACGGAGGGUGCAAGCGUUAAUCGGAAUUACUGGGCGUAAAGCGCACGCAGGCGGUCUGUCAAGUCGGAUGUGAAAUCCCCGGGCUCAACCUGGGAACUGCAUUCGAAACUGGCAGGCUAGAGUCUUGUAGAGGGGGGUAGAAUUCCAGGUGUAGCGGUGAAAUGCGUAGAGAUCUGGAGGAAUACCGGUGGCGAAGGCGGCCCCCUGGACAAAGACUGACGCUCAGGUGCGAAAGCGUGGGGAGCAAACAGG